AGAAAGAAAAGACAUUCAACAAAUUAAAGACACACCAUCUUCACUAUAGCUUCCCUCUAACUAUUCAGGUCUGCAACAAAUUAGGUGCUGCACAGUAUUUUGCAAUGACAAAUGACUAUUAAAGAUAUUGAUUUUACUUUGGUCCAAGCAGAAAUAAACCUCUUCACACCCCAUUCUUCUGAGGCCACCAUAACAAGUACUACAGCAAGGAUUUCAUAUUCUAUUUUGUGUUUGAUGUAAGGAAGUUUAGGCCAUAUAAAUGUUCCCAAAAGAAUGUAUGCUUCCUGACUCAACCUCAGUUACAGAUUUCAGACCAACAGCAUUUUCCUGUACUUCAUACUGGUUCAGUAGCAGGUCCCCAAGUACAGAGCAUCAGCAGUCUAUAGGUUGGAUGACAGCCAUCAGCAGCUUAUAGGAUUGAUCGUGUUUGAAAUGCAGCCAGAGAUUGGGUGCAAAAAGAGUUCACUCACUCGGGUCAAUGAGUACACUUUGCGAGAGUUUCACUGUUUGAAUAGUGGCCAAUUAGAGAUGGGGUGCGAGACAGAGGUAACUUGCACAGGUCGUCUAGCGUGCAUUAUAAUUCAGCGCUUCGCAGGAGUUUUGGCAUUUGAACAGCAGCAAACCAGAGAUCAGAAACAAGAAGUGACUCACUCAAGUUGGCGAGUAUGCAUUAAAAAGCAGCCUUUCGCAGGAUAUGCGGCAUUUGAACAGUGGCCAGAGAUAGGGAGUGAGACAAGAGGUAACUCACAUAAGUAGGUGAGUGUGCAUUAAAAAGCAGCGCUUCACUGGAAUUUCAAUGUUUAACCAGUGGCCAGAAGCAGGAGAAGAGUUCACUCACACAGGUCGAUGACUGUGCAUUAAAAAGCGAUUCGCAGGAGCUUUGGCAUUUGAACAGCAGCCAAUUAGAGAUGGGGAGCGAGACAAAAGGUAACUAAUAAAGGUCGAAAAGUAAGCAUUAAAAAGCAAUGCUUCACAGGAAUUUUGGUAUUUGAACAGCAGCUAAUCAGAGACUGAGUGUGAGAGAUGAGGUGACUCACACAGGUCGUCAAAUGUACACAAAAAAGCUGCGCUUCGUGGGAAUUUUGGCAUUUGAACAGCAGUUAAUCAGAGACUGAGUGUGAGAGAUGAGGUGACUCACACAGGUCAUCAAAUGUACACAAAAAAGCCGCGCUUCGUGGGAAUUUUGGCAUUUGAACAGCGACCAAUCAGAGAUCAGGAGCAAGAGGCGAGGUGGCUCACACAGGUCAGUAAAUGUGCAUUAAAAUUCAGCGCUUCGCAGGAGUUUCAGCAUUUGUACUGCGGCCAGAGAUCGGGAGCAAGAGGUGAGGUGGCUCACACAGGUCAGCAAAUGUGCAUUAAAAUUCAGCGCUUCGCAGGAGUUUCAGCAUUUGUACUGCGGCCAGAGAUCGGGAGCAAGAGGGCACUUCUCUGUUUUCGUGGAUGGCUGUGAAGAAAAAGCAUUUCAGGAUGUAUAUUGUAUACAAACGUACAUUUCUCUGACAGUAAACGUACCUUUGAAAACUCUGAAUCUUCUACAGUGGAAAGUACUCUGACAGUUUGGAUCACAACCUGCUAUGAAAACACUAGUUCCCAGGAACAGAAAAGCCUACAAGAAGUGGUGAAUACACUUUUUCCCGCAGGAAAAGGCCUCCCCACCAUUGAGCACAUCUACACAGAGUGCUGCCACAAGAAAGCAGCACCCAUCAAGGGCCCCCACCAUCUAAGCCAUGCUCUCUUCUCAUUGCUACCAAAUGGAAGGAAGUACAGAAGUCAAGGUCCCAUACCACCAGGUUCAGGAGUUAUUACCCUCAUGAACCAGUGUGGACAUCUUCAUUCACAACACUGAACACAACCUUUGUAGUCACUUUCAAGGAUUCUUACAGCUCAUGUUCUCAGUAUUAUUUAUUUAUUGUUGUUAUUUCUCAUUUUGCAUUUGUACAAUUUGUCAGCCUUUGCGUAGCUUUUAUUGAUUCUAUUGUACUUCUUUGCUCUACCGCAAAUGCCUGCAAGAAAUGAUUUGGUGACAUACGUAAUUUGAUAAUAAAAUUUACUUUGAACUUUAA